rnacentral:lncRNA from 1 species
GGUCGCGGGGUUCUCAACUUCAUGGCCGGCAGCCAAGUUGUCGGCUUCUUCGGCACCAGAGGCUUUCAUCUGGAUGCGGCGCCGCUUCUGCUCCUGCUGAGGCAUGUUGUAGACGGAGAGGGCCUGGUUCUUGGUCAGGGUUUCGAGGUCGCCAACGUAGGAGAGGCCAGAGGGGUCGGUGGCGUAGCCGUAUUUGUGGUAGGUGUUGUACUGCUCGUCGAAGAGGAAGGGCUGGAUGGCAGCGUCCUCGACGAAGCCGAGCUUGUGGUUGCGCAUGCCUUGGGCGACGCCGUCCUUGGCGAAAGGGUGGGCGGGGCCAUGGAUGGGUGCCCAGAGUUGGUCAUAGGUGGGGUUGAAGGUCACCGCGUGCUGCGUGGGGUCGAGCGGCCGGUGGAGGGCGCGGGCCGAGCCGGCAGCGGCA